rnacentral:rRNA from 1 species
UACGUAGGGUGCAAGCGUUGUCCGGAAUUAUUGGGCGUAAAGAGCUCGUAGGCGGCUUGUUACGUCGACUGUGAAAACCCGCGGCUCAACCGUGUGGCUUGCAGUCGAUACGGGCAGGCUAGAGUUCGGUAGGGGAGACUGGAAUUCCUGGUGUAGCGGUGAAAUGCGCAGAUAUCAGGAGGAACACCGGUGGCGAAGGCGCUCAUCUGGCCCAAUACUGACGCUGAGGCGCGAAAGCUAGGGGAGCAAACGGG